GGAUGGCAUCCGUGAUGGAGCCAUACUCUAUAAAUUAUUCAAUUCAAUAAAAUACUUUUUCGCUUAGAUCCUUGUGACUGAGACGGAU
rnacentral:ncRNA from 1 species